AUUGAACGCUGGCGGCAGGCCUAACACAUGCAAGUCGAGCGAGUGGCGGACGGGUGAGUAAUGUCUGGGAAUCUGCCUGAUGGAGGGGGAUAACUACUGGAAACGGUGGCUAAUACCGCAUACCAUCAGAUGUGCCCAUAUGGGAUUAGCUUGUUGGUGGGGUAACGGCUCACCAAGGCGACGAUCCCUAGCUGGUCUGAGAGGAUGAUCAGCCACACUGGAACUGAGACACGGUCCAGACUCCUACGGGAGGCAGCAGUGGGGAAUAUUGCACAAUGGGCGCAAGCCUGAUGCAGCCAUGCCGCGUGUAUGAAGAAGGCCUUCGGGUUGUAAAGUACUUUCAGCGGGGAGGCGUUACCCGCAGAAGAAGCACCGGCUAACUCCGUGCCAGCAGCCGCGGUAAUAC
rnacentral:rRNA from 1 species